CGGGGGUAACAAUGUCUGGCUCAGAGGAGUGCUGUGAGGACUCCGGAAUUCACCCAGGUCUCAUCACCUCCCUGGCUCUGCCCUUCUCCCAUCUCAGCGGCAGUGUUUGCUGAGUCUGCAGCUGACCGGUCUCUGUAGGCAGAGGCUACUGUGUACCCCUCUGCCUGGACUUGCCUGGUCCAGCCUCUGAGCCAGGCUCUUCUGCUCCUGUGACCCAACUCUGACAAAUUCCAGAGAAUGAACAUUCCAUAUCUGUCUACCCGAAGAGUGAGAAAACAGGGGAAGUAGAAGGACAAGGAACAUUCAGUGUGAGCUUGUUCGCAUUCCUGGGAACCCCAGUGCAUCAUCCACUCUCCCCAAGCACAGAUAGGGGAUUGUCAACAGGCCGGCUGAGCUGAAAAGCCUCAUGCCCACUGGUGUGAGUGCCAGAUGGGCAGUGCUGU